GGCGGACGGGUGAGUAAUGCCUGGGAAUAUGCCCUGAUGUGGGGGAUAACUAUUGGAAACGAUAGCUAAUACCGCAUAAUCUCUUCGGAGCAAAGAGGGGGACCUUCGGGCCUCUCGCGUCAGGAUUAGCCCAGGUGGGAUUAGCUUGUUGGUGAGGUAAUGGCUCACCAAGGCAACGAUCCCUAGCUGGUCUGAGAGGAUGAUCAGCCACACUGGAACUGAGACACGGUCCAGACUCCUACGGGAGGCAGCAGUGGGGAAUAUUGCACAAUGGGGGAAACCCUGAUGCAGCCAUGCCGCGUGUAUGAAGAAGGCCUUCGGGUUGUAAAGUACUUUCAGUAGGGAGGAAGGCAGUGUCGUUAAUAGCGGCAUUGUUUGACGUUACCUACAGAAGAAGCACCGGCUAACUCCGUGCCAGCAGCCGCGGUAAUACGGAGGGUGCGAGCGUUAAUCGGAAUUACUGGGCGUAAAGCGCAUGCAGGCGGUCUGUUAAGCAAGAUGUGAAAGCCCGGGGCUCAACCUCGGAACAGCAUUUUGAACUGGCAGACUAGAGUCUUGUAGAGGGGGGUAGAAUUUCAGGUGUAGCGGUGAAAUGCGUAGAGAUCUGAAGGAAUACCGGUGGCGAAGGCGGCCCCCUGGACAAAGACUGACGCUCAGAUGCGAAAGCGUGGGGAGCAAACACGAUUAGAUACCCUGGUAGUCCACGCCGUAUACGAUGUCUACUUGGAUGUUGUGGCCUUCAGCCGUGGCUUUCUGAGCUAACGCGUUAAGUAGACCGCCUGGGGAGUA
rnacentral:rRNA from 1 species